rnacentral:lncRNA from 1 species
UACACUUCAGAACGCAAUGGAUCGUUUUCCCCAGAGUCAGGUCCAUCCUGGGCAGAAGGUUAGACGUUUAUGGAGUGGUAUCAGCAGCGGAAGAGCCUUUCAGAGGCCGCUGUGUGCUUCUGGGUGGAGCCAUCGUGCUUGUGCUGUAAAUCCAGGUUCAGACACCUUGAAAGAUGCCACAUCCUAGACACCAUCAACACUGCAUGGGGGAAUUUUAGGGCUUUGUGUAACAUGACGUAAGUGUUUUGACUUGGGGCACUUAGUCCCCGUGAGAGUUCCCACAUAGGUGGGCAG